rfam:Dipodomys ordii contig_41327, whole genome shotgun sequence.
GGGAAGCUGGCUCAGUGGUAGAGUGCUUGCCUCACAUGCAUGAGGUUCUGGGUUCGAUUCCUCAGCACCACA